GGUGAGAUGGCUGAGUGGUCUAAGGCACCAGGCUAAGGAAGUUAGUUCAUGUGGUGUGUGUGAAGAUCUGGUCAUGUUGUGGCAUGGGUUCAAAUCCCACUCUUAUCA